UGGUGCACCCCACAUUUCAGUUUCCCCCAUUUGGUUUCAUGUGCUAUGCCAAACCAUCCAAAAAGGAUAACUUCCACACACAAGAAUGACCCAACACAACAAGGAAUAGAAUCCUCCCUUUGUAACUUUCACUUCUUUUUAACCCAAAACCCAAAAAGCAUUCCUCUAGAGAAAACCACAGCAUCCAAAAAGCAACCCCAUUUUGACUUCACUUUCAUCUCCCCCCUCCUUUUAAGAAACUGCUAAUCAAAAUCACUUUUCACACUUUAACAAAUAAUCACAUCACAUGGCAUUAGGGUCCCACUUUCAAAUACUAUCUCACUUUACUCUUUUCCCUUACAGCCUCUUCUAGCUUGUACCUUUUCAUGAACUCUCUGGGCAAAACAGGUGAUUGCUUCUGGUUAUAUUGUUGGGAGUUUCAAACAGAUAAAAAGAUAAGCGCAUUUGGGGAUUUCAAAGACCGAAGAAGUGAAAGUGCAAAAUGCAAAGUGCAAAAUCAGUCUUUUUUUAACACCAAAGUGGAUUCCAUUGAAGGUCCAAGAUCCUCCAUUGCAUUAAGGCCUCAAUGACUUAAAGAAGCAAGAAAAUCAGCAAAAUGGUGGAGUUUUUGGAAGCUUAGCUGGCGUUGAGCGUCACUCUCCACUGUUGAGCGCGACAUUUCUAGAGAGUUUUCACGAAGUUGGCGCUGAGUGGUGGCGCAACUGAUGUAUAAAAUUGCCUAUUUAUUCAAGCUUUCUUGAAGCAUUUAGGGUCUUUUGUUGUUUGGAGGUGCGACUUCACUUAGAGGAGGGUUAGGAAGGUUGUUAGGGCUCGUGGGAACACUCCCUUCUUCCUCUUGGUUUCUUCUUCUUCUUCUUCCAUGACCGUUUUGUAAGCUUUGAGGCUCUCUAUGAAAGUGGAUAGUCAAACCCAUCUUGUUUGGGGUAGAUGUAGUGAUUGAACUCUUUAGUACCUUA